AGGUAUAGCUCAGUGGUAGAGCACAUGCUUAGCAUGCACAAGGUCCGGGAUUCAAUCCCCAGUACCU
rnacentral:tRNA from 1 species